rnacentral:rRNA from 1 species
GACGAACGCUGGCGGCGUGCUUAACACAUGCAAGUCGAACGGAAAGGCCUUUUCGGAGGUACUCGAGUGGCGAACGGGUGAGUAACACGUGGGUGAUCUGCCCUGCACUCUGGGAUAAGCCUGGGAAACUGGGUCUAAUACCGGAUAGGACCGCACUUUAGUGUGUGUGGUGGAAAGGUGUUUCGGUGUAGGAUGAGCCCGCGGCCUAUCAGCUUGUUGGUGGGGUAAUGGCCUACCAAGGCGGCGACGGGUAGCCGGACUGAGAGGUUGGUCGGCCACAUUGGGACUGAGAUACGGCCCAGACUCCUACGGGAGGCAGCAGUGGGGAAUAUUGCACAAUGGGCGCAAGCCUGAUGCAGCGACGCCGCGUGGGGGAUGACGGCCUUCGGGUUGUAAACUCCUUUCGCCAGGGACGAAGCGUUUUGUGACGGUACCUGGAGAAGAAGCACCGGCUAACUACGUG